rnacentral:miRNA from 1 species
CACCGAGGAGAGGGAGACUUCUUAGCAGAGAAGCUGUGAAGUUUUCCUACCCUCGGUGAU